rnacentral:rRNA from 1 species
UGCAGUCGAACGGACCCUUCGGGGUUAGUGGCGGACGGGUGAGUAACACGUGGGAACGUGCCUUUUGGUUCGGAAUAGCUCCUGGAAACGGGUGGUAAUGCCGAAUGUGCCCUUAGGGGGAAAGAUUUAUCGCCAUUAGAGCGGCCCGCGUCUGAUUAGCUAGUUGGUGAGGUAAAGGCUCACCAAGGCGACGAUCAGUAGCUGGUCUGAGAGGAUGACCAGCCACAUUGGGACUGAGACACGGCCCAAACUCCUACGGGAGGCAGCAGUGGGGAAUCUUGCGCAAUGGGCGAAAGCCUGACGCAGCCAUGCCGCGUGAAUGAUGAAGGUCUUAGGAUUGUAAAAUUCUUUCACCGGGGACGAUAAUGACGGUACCCGGAGAAGAAGCCCCGGCUAACUUCGUGCCAGCAGCCGCGGUAAUACGAAGGGGGCUAGCGUUGCUCGGAAUUACUGGGCGUAAAGGGAGCGUAGGCGGACAUUUAAGUCAGGGGUGAAAUCCCAGAGCUCAACUCUGGAACUGCCUUUGAUACUGGGUGUCUUGAGUGUGAUAGAGGUAUGUGGAACUCCGAGUGUAGAGGUGAAAUUCGUAGAUAUUCGGAAGAACACCAGUGGCGAAGGCGACAUACUGGAUCAUUACUGACGCUGAGGCUCGAAAGCGUGGGGAGCAAACAGGAUUAGAUACCCUGGUAGUCCACGCCGUAAACGAUGAUUGCUAGUUGUCGGGAUGUUUACAUCUCGGUGACGCAGCUAACGCAUUAAGCAAUCCGCCUGGGAGUACGGUCGCAA